GAUGAACGCUGGCGGCGUGCCUAAUACAUGCAAGUCGAGCGAACAGACGAGGAGCUUGCUCCUCUGACGUUAGCGGCGGACGGGUGAGUAACACGUGGAUAACCUACCUAUAAGACUGGGAUAACUUCGGGAAACCGGAGCUAAUACCGGAUAAUAUAUUGAACCGCAUGGUUCAAUAGUGAAAGACGGUUUUGCUGUCACUUAUAGAUGGAUCCGCGCCGCAUUAGCUAGUUGGUAAGGUAACAGCUUACCAAGGCAACGAUGCGUAGCCGACCUGAGAGGGUGAUCGGCCACACUGGAACUGAGACACGGUCCAGGCUCCUACGGGAGGCAGCAGUAGGGAAUCUUCCGCAAUGGGCGAAAGCCUGACGGAGCAGCGCCGCGUGAGUGAUGAAGGUCUUCGGAUCGUAAAACUCUGUUAUUAGGGAAGAACAAAUGUGUAAGUAACUAUGCACGUCUUGACGGUACCUAAUCAGAAAGCCACGGCUAACUACGUG
rnacentral:rRNA from 1 species